UCUACAGGAGGAAAACCCGGAUCCCGCCCAGCUACUUGAAUGUGGAUUUCAUGGAAUGUGAAAAGUGAGAUUCCCAGAAGAACAUCAUUUCAGCAUAGAAAUCAAGUUUAUCAAUGGUGUAAUAAAAGUACCUUUCUAAAGCUA